rnacentral:rRNA from 1 species
CUGAUAAUAUAUUAAAGGGCUGCAGUAUUUUGACUGUACAAAGGUAGCAUAAUCAAUAGUCUCUUAAUUGGUGACUUGUAUGAAAGAUUGGAUGAGAUAUAAACUGUCUCUAAUUUAUAUAAAGAAUUUAAUUUUUUGAUUAAAAAGUCAAAAUAAUUUUAAAAGACGAGAAGACCCUAUAGAGUUUUAUAUUUAAAUUAAUUGAGAUUAUUUUUUAGAAUAAUAAUUAAAAUUAAUUAAAAUAUUUUGUUGGGGUGAUAAAAAAAUAUGAAUAACUUUUUUUAAAAAUAUUUUCAUUGAUAAGUGAAUAAUUGAUCCAUAAUUUUUGAUUAAAAGAAAAAAUUACCUUAGGGAUAACAGCGUAAUUUUUUUUUUUAGUUCAAAUAAGAAAAAGAGUUUGCGACCUCGAUGUUGGAUUAAGAUAAAAUUUAUAUGCAAAAGUAUAAAAUUUUGAUCUGUUCGAUC